UAUAAAUGUUCCUGUGUUUCCAGAACUACGUCAGUUCGAAACCCGGUUCGAGCAGUGCAGUCAAUCGAAACAUUGCAGUGCAGUAACGCAACGAUGAAGUUUAUUGUGACAUUAUUUCUGGUCGUGGCGCUCGCGGACCUGUUCCAUUGUUCCCCAGCAAAACCUUAUACGGACCGUCCACAAGUGAGGAAUGUUCCUAGUAAUGGAAUACCCAACAGACCUUCAGGACCUCAGGUACCUGCCUCUGUGGGGGCCGGUGGAAGAGAGGACAAAGGAGUUCAAACCUUGAACUUAUCUAAGCAUUCAUGAAGAUGGCCACGCAUUAUACACGACCUGGCUUGCCACAAAACCUUGAUUUACUUUAUGUUCUAGGCGUAAAAACAAACCAAACCAAAAAGACUAUUAGGAUUAGUUUAUAAAGCAUUAUUUAUAAUAAUAUUUACCAUGUGACUUGUGUCGGUUGACUACUAAACCAACCAAUGGUUACUGUCACUGUGUUCAAUCAAACAACUUGACUGACUGUUCGUAAUAUUGUGUCUUCUAAUGCAGGCACAAUAAGUUAUGUAAAGUAUUUUUGUAGUAUAUUAAUUUAUGACUAUGUUAAAUAAAUUGUGUAAAACUA